UGGCCAGUAGCUCAAGUGGUAGAGCACCUGCUACAUAUCCAAAAGGCCUGGGUUCAACUCCAGUCUGGUCCA